GGGACGAAAGCUAGGGGCACGAACCGGAUUAGAUACCCGGGUAGUCCUAGCCGUAAACGAUACUCGCUAGGUGUCGGCCACGGUGCGACCGUUGUCGGUGCCGUAGGGAAGCCGUGAAGCGAGCCACCUGGGAAGUACGGCCGCAAGGCUGAAACUUAAAGGAAUUGGCGGGGGAGCACCACAACGGGUGGAGCUUGCGGUUUAAUUGGAUUCAACGCCGGAAAUCUUACCGGGACCGACAGCAAUAUGAAGGUCAGGCUGAAGACUUUGCCGGAUUAGCUGAGAGGUGGUGCAUGGCCGUCGUCAGUUCGUACUGUGAAGCAUCCUGUUAAGUCAGGCAACGAGCGAGACCCACGCCCACAGUUGCCAGCGUACUCUCUGGAGUGACGGGUACACUGUGGGGACCGCCGCUGCUAAAGCGGAGGAAGGAAUGGGCAACGGUAGGUCAGUAUGCCCCGAAUAUCCCGGGCUACACGCGAGCUACAAUGGUUGGUACAAUGGGUAUCUACCCCGAAAGGGGACGGGAAUCUCCUAAAACCAAUCUUAGUUCGGAUUGAGGGCUGCAACUCGCCCUCAUGAAGCUGGAAUCCGUAGUAAUCGCGUUUCAACAGAACGCGGUGAAUACGUCCCUGCUCCUUGCACACGCCGCCCGUCAAACCACCCGAGUAGGGUCUGAAUGAGAGCGCUUUCUUUGGAGGCGUUCGAAUUUGGGCUCUGCAAGGGGGGUU
rnacentral:rRNA from 1 species